ensembl:piRNA 21ur-5757 ncRNA
UCUCACAAAAAAGAUUUUCUA